rnacentral:rRNA from 1 species
UAACGGCUCACCAAGGCGACGAUGCGUAGCCGACCUGAGAGGGUGAUCGGCCACACUGGGACUGAGACACGGCCCAGACUCCUACGGGAGGCAGCAGUAGGGAAUCUUCCGCAAUGGACGAAAGUCUGACGGAGCAACGCCGCGUGAGUGAUGAAGGUUUUCGGAUCGUAAAGCUCUGUUGUUAGGGAAGAACAAGUGCCGUUCAAAUAGGGCGGCACCUUGACGGUACCUAACCAGAAAGCCACGGCUAACUACGUGCCAGCAGCCGCGGUAAUACGUAGGUGGCAAGCGUUGUCCGGAAUUAUUGGGCGUAAAGGGCUCGCAGGCGGUUUCUUAAGUCUGAUGUGAAAGCCCCCGGCUCAACCGGGGAGGGUCAUUGGAAACUGGGGAACUUGAGUGCAGAAGAGGAGAGUGGAAUUCCACGUGUAGCGGUGAAAUGCGUAGAGAUGUGGAGGAACACCAGUGGCGAAGGCGACUCUCUGGUCUGUAACUGACGCUGAGGAGCGAAAGCGUGGGGAGCGAACAGGAUUAGAUACCCUGGUAGUCCACGCCGUAAACGAUGAGUGCUAAGUGUUAGGGGGUUUCCGCCCCUUAGUGCUGCAGCUAACGCAUUAAGCACUCCGCCUGGGGAGUACGGUCGCAAGACUGAAACUCAAAAGGAAUUGACGGGGGCCCCGCACAAGCGGUGGAGCAUGUGGUAUAAUUCGAAGCAA